UAUUUAAAUACAAUAUGUUUAACUUUAAGAUUAAGUUAAAUAAAAUGAUUAACUAAUUAUAUCCUCACUUCUAUAUUCAAUAUUUAAGUUUUAGUAUUGCAUUGACUAAGACUUCAAUGUUGACUGUUAGAAAAUUUAAUAAAAACGACAAAAAUGCUUUAUUUUAAUUAUUUCAACAAUAAAAUUGCUUGAAUUAGUAGUUUAAGUUGUUGGGUUCUUCUUAGAGAAUAUUUCAGAGGCAAAAACACACAUUUACUCUUCUAAUUAAAACUAUUUGCUUGUCAAUAGGCUUUCUAAGAAAGCUAAAUUCUUUCUAAAGAAAUUUAACUUGUAGCAUAGCAAAGUAUAAAGUAUAUCAAGAGUUUCACAGGAAGGGCUGGGACUUUUUGAAUAUAUGUAAUACACGAAUCAUUUCAUAUUAUAAAUACGAACAUUUUAAAUUUCUUAAUAUAAAGUUAUGGAAUUAAAAUAUUAAUAAAAUAUUAACCAUCCAUUUUUUUUCUUUUGAUAGUAGCUAGAACCAUCAAACUUUAAUCUAUACAAUGUAAAUUACAUGCAAUUUACCUUGCAAGGAGAUGUAUGGAAAUUAUAUAUAUUUUCACCGUUUACCAUAUAUCACUGAGAAAGCAAAAGGCUAUCCCAAAAAGUUUAAAGAUUUAACAAAAGCAUAAAUAAUCGAAACAUAUCAUCAACAGAUAUAUAAGAAGAAAAUUAAAGCCAUUCUCAUGAAAUAUGAACUAUUGAAAAAGAAAUUAAAGGUCGAUGAUUCGUUGGAAACUAACACAAGGAAGCAUAUGUUCAACUUAUGCAUUUGUGGGGGCCAAAGCAAAGUAAAGGAACGAACAUUGAGUACAUUGCAUGAAUUUGUUUUUCCUUUUCCUUUUAAAGCUCAAUGACCAUAACUAUUUAACAUCCCCUGUUUUAUGAUGUCUUUGUUAUUCAAAAUCUCCGUGUGGUCAUCAUAGCUUGUGCGAUCCAAGGCUCAAGGCUCAACUAGUUGAUCAUCAGUGCAGCAUCAUAAAGGUUUUUCGUACGCAUUAUUAUAUCCCAAAAUGUCCACAUUUCCAGGUGACUUGACACCAAACUCACCAAUCGACUUUGAUCCUUACGUGGAUCUGCACCGUCCUCAUACACUCGGUGGCUCUUCCCGUUGCCACGGUCGUGCAGAUGACAGACUAAAACCCGACUUAGAACAAUCCUCAUCAAGGCCACGCAGGGAACAACAGUCCAGUGACUUGGGGAGGCUUUGAACGAGGCUAUAUGUGGUAACAACUGGAGUAGGCCAAAAGCAAUCCUGGAUCAAAACCCUAGUGCUUUGAUAGCAAAAAUUGCUGAUUUUGACCUCGCAGCACUUCAUGUGGCUGCAAUGUUUGAGCAUGUCACCAUAGUGGAGGAGUUGCUCAAAUUACUGCCUCAAGAAUUCCUUCUAACUCGUGAAAUCACUCAACUUGCAAAAAGCCUUGUAAAAAAGAAUAGUCUCAAACUUGCCAUUCCACAAAGAGAUGAUGAUCUUCCUGUUACGAUGGCUUUUCAUUGUGGUCACUAUGAAAUGGGACGAUAUCUUUAUUCUGUCACUCCAUUGGAAUCCCAUAUAGGCUGUCGAAGUUCUAGGCUUCUUCGUUCUCGUUUACAUGCUCAA